rnacentral:lncRNA from 1 species
AACAAUUCACAAACACGGGAAACCCACCGAGCCCGAAGCUCAUAUCACAUUUCAUUUCAUUUUCUUAUUUAAUCACAUAGACAGGCUCGUAGUUCGCCAUAACCACCUGAUGAUGAGAACCAACCUGCACUUCAAGUUUGAUCCCCAGCAUACAAUAUCCGUACCACCGUGUCCCUUCAAAGUGAUGAUCACCUAUCUCGAACUAACUAAAUUACAAUCACUAAUCACGCAACGAGUGAUCAAUCAUUCAUGCUGGUUUUUUCGCUAAUGUUUCCUUAUUCUGAAUUCAAUCAAUUCAUGGAUAUAACUUAAUGUAUAAACCAAAACGUUUCCAUACUCCGUAACACGAAGCAACCUGAAUAGAUCUAGACUCGACACACUAAAAACAAUGUAUAAACGCAGAAAUAAGCCUAGAUCUACUCCUCACCUUGACCAUUGUGCAGAUAUGGAUCAAAGCGGACGAGUAACAAAGGUAUCGAGCAAAAAAUAAGAAAGCUGUCGGUGACUUUUUCUCUUUCCGGCGGUGGUGACGCAGCGCACAGCAGUGGCGGUGGCGACGGCAGUGGACAGCAGCGGCUGGUCAAACUGCGGCUGGCGGCAGCGACUGGUCGGUGAUAGAAGCUCUCUCAUGUCUCAGAAAUCUCUCUCUCUCUCUCUCUCUCUCUCUCUCUCUCUCUCUGGGUGGCUGCAAAUGAGAAU